rnacentral:ncRNA from 1 species
UGCCUGCACCGGAGCCGAUCGCCUCUGUGGUUAUUAUUAUUAUUAUACCUUUGCACAUCCGCUGCUCUCAAAGGAGGUUGCUUGAUAACCACCGCACAGAAUCACAGGAUGGUUGAGGUUGGAAGGGACUGCUGGAGGUCACCUGGUCCAACCCCCCAGUCAAGUAGGGCCACCUAAAGCGGGCUGCCCAGGACCGUGUCCAGACGUUUACUUUGAGAAAAUUAGAGUGUUCAAAGCAGGCCGGCCGCCGGCAUACUGCAGCUAGGAAUAAUGGAAUAGGACUCCGGUUCUAUUCUGUUGGUUUUUGGAAACGGGGCCAUGAUUAAGAGGGACGGCUGGGGGCAUUCGUAUUGUGCCGCUAGAGGUGAAAUUCUUGGACCGGCGCAAGACGGCCUAGAGCGAAAGCAUUUGCCAAGAAUGUUUUCAUUAAUCAAGACUCCAAAACGGAGUCAUACAGUCCCCCACAGUAUGAAUUUCCCACAGUGUGAGAGACUAUCAUUU